rnacentral:rRNA from 1 species
UGGGGGAUAUUGCACAAUGGGCGAAAGCCUGAUGCAGCGACGCCGCGUGGGGGAUGAAGGCCUUCGGGUUGUAAACUUCUUUUGCUCUGAACAAGGCGCACCAUGGGGUGUGUUGAGUGUAGGGGUUGAUUAGCGCCGGCUAACUACGUGCCAGCAGCCGCGGUAAUACGUAGGGCGCGAGCGUUGUCCGGAAUUAUUGGGCGUAAAGGGCUUGUAGGUGGCUGGUUGCGUCUGUCGUGAAAGCUCAUGGCUUAACUGUGGGUUUGCGGUGGGUACGGGCUGGCUUGAGUGCAGUAGGGGAGGCUGGAAUUCCUGGUGUAGCGGUGGAAUGCGCAGAUAUCAGGAGGAAUACCGGUGGCGAAGGCGGGUCUCUGGGCUGUUACUGACACUGAGGAGCGAAAGCAUGGGAAGCGAACAGG